GGGAGGGGGAGGUGUGGAGAGGGUGGGGGUGCAUUGGUUCUGCUGGCCUCAAGGAAGGGAGUGCAGGCCUCAUGGGAAGGUCAGGCUCUCAGAGGAGCAGAACAGAGCAGGGUGCCCAGAAAGGGAGUGGGGGCUAAAAGCUGAGGACGGUUAAGGGGGACAAGAGGAACAAUCACAGAGAAAAGCAAGCAGAGCCCGUGCAGGCGCCAGGCUGGCCCAGGGUCACCAUGGAAACCAUAACUUUUUCACAACCUUUAAACUGGAGGAACUUCCAGUCUCUCAGACCCUGCCUGAGGUCCACACGUGUGCACACACAUGCAUACACAUCAUCCACGCAGUGAGACCACACACACCGGUGUACACUUGACACUCAGAGUGGUGUGUGCAUGCUGAAUGCAGACACACAAGCCUCACACACUCACACACACUCACGCUGGAAUCACAUAUGGACACCACACAGUGCACACAGGCGUGCACAGAAACGUGCACCAAGCACACACACGCAUGUGUGCGCACACAUGCACAUACGUAGUGCAUGCACAGGCAUACAGACGUGCACACACAUACAUGCACACACGUAUGCACACCACAUACAGAGUGGACACCUGCACUGGCUCACACACACACACUCAUCACACUCACACACUCAUCACACAUACACUCACACACACACACGCACUCACACAUACACUCAUGACACAUGCACACGCUCAUCACACACGCUCAUCACACACACGUACACACACACGUAGUGCAUGCACAGGCAUACGGACGUGCACACACAUGCAUGCACACACACGUAUGCACACCACGUACAGAGUGGACACCUGCACUGGCUCUCACACACACACACUCAUCACACACACGCACUCACACAUACACUCACA
rnacentral:lncRNA from 10 species